AGAGUUUGAUUCUGGCUCAGAACGAACGCUGGCGGCGUGGAUAAGACAUGCAAGUCGAACGCUGAUUGUUGAGUAGCAAUACUUGGCAGUCAGAGUGGCGCAAGGGUGCGUAACACGUGGGCAAUCUACCGCGAAGUCUGGAAUAACCUGCUGAAAGGCGGGCUAAUGCCGGAUGUGACUAUCUGGGGGAUUCCUUGGAUACUUAAAGUUGGGGACCGAAAGGCCUAACACUUUGCGAUGAGCCCGCGGCCUAUCAGCUAGUUGGUGAGGUAACGGCUCACCAAGGCUAAGACGGGUAGCUGGUCUGAGAGGACGACCAGCCACACUGGAACUGAGACACGGUCCAGACACCUACGGGUGGCAGCAGUCGAGAAUUUUUCACAAUGGGCGAAAGCCUGAUGGAGCGACGCCGCGUGGGGGAUGAAGGGCUUCGGCUCGUAAACCCCUGUCAUUCGAGAACAAACCCUGAAUCCUAACACGAUUCAGGCUGAUAGUAUCGGAAGAGGAAGGGACGGCUAACUCUGUGCCAGCAGCCGCGGUAAUACAGAGGUCCCAAGCGUUGUUCGGAUUUACUGGGCGUAAAGGGUGCGUAGGCGGCGAGGAAAGUUUAAGGUGAAAUCUCCAGGCUCAACUUGGAAAUUGCCUCGAAUACUUCCUUGCUAGAGGAUUGUAGAGGAGACUGGAAUUCUCGGUGUAGCAGUGAAAUGCGUAGAUAUCGAGAGGAACACCAGUGGCGAAAGCGGGUCUCUGGGCAAUUCCUGACGCUGAGGCACGAAAGCCAGGGGAGCAAACGGGAUUAGAUACCCCGGUAGUCCUGGCCCUAAACGGUGCGCACUUGCUGUAAGUGGAUUUAAAACCCACUUGUGGCGGAGUUAACACGUUAAGUGCGCCGCCUGAGAAGUACGGUCGCAAGAUUAAAACUCAAAGAAAUUGACGGGGGCCUGCACAAGCGGUGGAGUAUGUAGCUUAAUUCGAUGCAACGCGAAAAUCCUUACCCACCUUUGACAUGUACGGAAGUUGCCAGAGAUGGCUUCGUGCUCGAAAGAGAACCGUAACACAGGUGCUGCAUGGCUGUCGUCAGCUCGUGU
rnacentral:rRNA from 1 species